UUUCCAGAUAGGUUCCUGGCUAGAAUCCAGCUCUCAGCUGGUUCCAGUCUCUAGCUAGGGCCUAACUACAAA
rfam:Neotoma lepida isolate 417 scaffold_16256, whole genome shotgun sequence.